rnacentral:RNase_P_RNA from 1 species
CGACCGGUAAGGGUGAAAAGGUGAGGUAAGAGCUCACCACUUUGUUCCUUCGGGAAUGCCUUUGCGGUACAGAAAUGCAAAGGUAAGACAAACCCAUCUCGAUGCAAGGCCAAGUAAAGAAGGAAUCCCCUUCAAAGGGGAUGCGUGCAGCUCGGUACGCGUUUCUGUAUAGAAACACACUUCGGGGUAGGUCGCUCAAGCCAGUUGGUAACAACUGGUUCAGAUAAAUGGCCACUGUCCCGUCCUUACGGGAUACAGAAUUCGGCUUAUUCGUUCAGUUUGGAU